rnacentral:rRNA from 1 species
GUGGGGAAUAUUGGACAAUGGGCGAAAGCCUGAUCCAGCCAUGCCGCGUGAGUGAUGAAGGCCCUAGGGUUGUAAAGCUCUUUCACCGGGGAAGAUAAUGACGGUACCCGGAGAAGAAGCCCCGGCUAACUUCGUGCCAGCAGCCGCGGUAAUACGAAGGGGGCUAGCGUUGUUCGGAAUUACUGGGCGUAAAGCGCACGUAGGCGGAUCAGUCAGUUAGGGGUGAAAUCCCAGGGCUCAACCCUGGAACUGCCUUUAAUACUGCUGAUCUAGAGUUCGAGAGAGGUGAGUGGAAUUCCGAGUGUAGAGGUGAAAUUCGUAGAUAUUCGGAGGAACACCAGUGGCGAAGGCGGCUCACUGGCUCGAUACUGACGCUGAGGUGCGAAAGCGUGGGGAGCAAACAGGAUUAGAAACCCCUGUAGUCC